GGGGAUGCGUGGUUUCGACAGGGUCGGCGACGUGAUCGCUGCGAGCCGAGGAUGUCGCUUCACACCUCGUUAAUCCGAGCGGCAGCCAGACAACUGGCAACACUUCUUACGCACUCGCUGCUUAAACAGUGAGCGUUCUCCCAGCCUCCCCUUCGUGGGCUGGGAAGAGCGAUAACAGCGAAGGUGCGGCCCGCCGAAUGUUCGGUAGGCGGGAAUAAGUCCACCGAGCUGGAGCGAUCCCUGAGCACGCCGGCGGGCGCUCGGAUCCUCGAGAAAAGAAAUCGCCGGCCACGCUCGUAGACGCGGUCACGGCAAGGGCCUUGGACGGGGAGUUCGACCCUCCCCCAUCUCCACAG
rnacentral:tmRNA from 1 species